rnacentral:sRNA from 2 species
CAAGGGAGUUACCAAAUUCACCAAGGGACCAAGUCACUAAGUCACCCAAGCGCAGCCCCCAAAAAAUGCAGGCUGACCUCGCAGUAGGAUUGCGCCACGGAAAUCGGAAAUGGGAUGUGGGAAAUGGGACAUGGCGGGGCUAGGUGUAUUUCUCGUAUCCUCAUCUCUGUGCGUCCCUCCUGCGAUGAAACGGGGGGCCCGAUGUUGAGGAGGGCUGGUAGGGAUGUGGUAGAGUAGAUAGAGAGAUAUCAGGGCAGGGGGAUGGUAGUAGUGGGCAUAGGCCAUGGGCCAUGGGCGCGGUUAGCGUCUGGCGUUUUGACAUGACAUGUUUAAAAUUGUCGGGAGCA